rnacentral:rRNA from 1 species
CCGCCCGUCACACCAUGAGAGCUGUUUGUACCCAAAGUCAUCUUAGCCAACCUGAAAAGGAGGCGGAUGCCUAAGGUAUGUAUGGUGAUUGGGGUGAAGUCGUAACAAAGGUACC